GUUCCCAUCGUCUAGAGGCCCAGGACACCAGGUUCUCAUCCUGGCAACAGGGGUUCGAAUCCCCUUGGGAAUGCCA
rnacentral:tRNA from 1 species